rnacentral:rRNA from 1 species
CAGUAGCCACGGUAAUACGAAGGGGGCUAGCGUUGCUCGGAAUUACUGGGCGUAAAGGGCGCGUAGGCGGACAUUUAAGUCAGAGGUGAAAGCCCAGGGCUCAACCUUGGAACUGCCUUUGAUACUGGGUGUCUAGUGUGCGGGAGAGGUGUGUGGAACUCCGAGUGUAGAGGUGAAAUUCGUAGAUAUUCGGAAGAACACCAGUGGCGAAGGCGACACACUGGCCCGUAACUGACGCUGAGGCGCGAAAGCGUGGGGAGCAAACAGGAUUAGAUACCCGAGUAGUCCCUGUCUCUUAUAA